rnacentral:rRNA from 1 species
UAGUCUGGUGCCAGCAGCCGCGGUAAUUCCAGCUCCAAUAGCGUAUAUUAAAGUUGUUGCAGUUAAAACGCUCGUAGUCGGAUUUCGGGGCAGGUUUGCCGGUCUGCCGAUGGGUAUGCACUGGUAGAACUGUCCUUCCUUCCGGAGACGGCGCCUACUCUUAACUGAGCGGGUGUCGGAGACGGAUCGUUUACUUUGAAAAAAUCAGAGUGUUUCAAGCAGGCAGCUCGCUUUUGCAUGGAUUAGCAUGGGAUAAUGAAAUAGGACUUUGGUGCUAUUUUGUUGGUUUCGAACACCGAAGUAAUGAUUAACAGGGACAGUCAAGGGCACUCGUAUUCCGCCGAGAGAGGUGAAAUUCUUAGACCAGCGGAAGACGAACCACUGCGAAAGCAUUUGCCAGGGAUGUUUUCACUGAUCAAGAACGAAAGUUAGGGGAUCGAAGACGAUCAGAUACCGUCGUAGUCUUAACCAUAAACCAUGCCGACUAGGGAUUGGAGGAUGUUCCUAUGUGACUCCUUCAGCACCUUUCGGGAAACUAAAGUCUUUGGGUUCCGGGGGGAGUAUGGUCGCAAGGCUGAAACUUAAAGGAAUUGACGGAAGGGCACCACCAGGAGUGGAGCCUGCGGCUUAAUUUGACUCAACACGGGGAAACUUACCAGGUCCAGACAUUGUGAGGAUUGACAGAUUGAGAGCUCUUUCUUGAUUCGAUGGGUGGUGGUGCAUGGCCGUUCUU